rnacentral:lncRNA from 1 species
UUCUCUCUCUUUCUCUGCAAUAUUGUUCUUCUUCUUUUAUUGAUUUAUAACACGUUAUCAGCACGAAACUCUACUAUCUCAAGAAUCUCUUUGAGAAAAUUAAGGAGAAAUAACUGUAACUUGUCAAUCUUUCAACUUAAGAAGAACCAGUGGCGACUUAAUAGUAGUGCUAGUGUUGCUGCAACCGAUGGAAUUGAACGCCGUUUGCACCAGUUGAAUAACAUCACCGGAAAUACUGUCAUUGGCCCUUAAUGCGAUUAUAGUUAUAUAUUUCUGUUGCAUAUUGAUGAA